rnacentral:misc_RNA from 1 species
GACGUAUUCGUACACUUCUCAGCAAUCAACCAAGAAGGCUACAAGUCUCUUGAAGAAGGUCAAGCAGUUGAAUU